AUGGCGAACCCUAAUCUGACAGCCGGCUACGUGUUCCAACCCACCGGCCGUGAGCUCAUCCACCACUACCUCGUCCCCAGGGCGGGGCUCGGCGGCGUCAUCUUCCCCGGCUUCAUCGAGGAGGGCGUGGACGUCUUGUCCUUGCCCCCGCGUGAGCUCCCCUUCCGGGAAAACCACAUAAGGGAUUACGGCGAGGUAUGGGGCUUCUUCUUCGCGGUAAAGCCCGCCGGCGAGACGUGCCCGACGCCGGGCGCGGGCGGGUGCUGGGUGCAGUACGGCACGGAGAAGCCGUACUACGGCAGCGAGGGCGGCCGGGAGGCAGUGGCGUUCCGGCGCAGGUUCGCGUACCGCUACACGUGGAAGGGCGGGGCGGUAUGGUCGCCGACGCGCUGGCUGAUGAAGGAGUACCGGCUCAACAGGGACGCGGCCGCCUUCCGCCGCGCGCACGCGGACCCUGAGGCGUCGGACGUCGUCUUCGUGGUCCACAAGGUCUACCGGAAGCCGGUGCUCCCCCCGCCUGCCGACAGCAGCUCCAGCGACAGCGAGCAGGAGGGCUCCGAGCGCUCCAUCGUGUUGAAGAGGAGGCGGUAG
rnacentral:rRNA from 1 species